rnacentral:rRNA from 1 species
UACAGAGGUCUCAAGCGUUGUUCGGAUUCAUUGGGCGUAAAGGGUGCGUAGGCGGCGCGGUAAGUCGGGUGUGAAAUCUUGGAGCUUAACUCCGAAACUGCAUUCGAUACUGCCGUGCUUGAGGACUGGAGAGGAGACUGGAAUUUACGGUGUAGCGGUGAAAUGCGUAGAUAUCAUCAGGAACACCGGUGGCGAAAGCGGCUUACUGGGUCUCUUCUGACGCUGAGGUACGAAAGCUAGGGUAGCGAACGGG